CAGAAUGGCCGUCUGUUUGAGCGUUUGGUUUGUGUGGUUUGUGUCAAGCGACAAGCUAGACAAACUAUAUAUAGGGUGAGAAACAGUGACUAUAGACGAACAGUGUAUUGUUUGUGAGAGUCAACAGGCGGUAUUUACAAAUCUCGCCUCCGCUUGUUUCUCAUCGAAGUUCUACCGUGGAAUGUGUCCCUUGCCGUUCUUUCAAGAAAAGCUGAUCAUUUAAAUGGUGUUCAGACAUCGAGUGUGCGAGUGCAGCACUACCCUGUGGAGCAUCGCCCUGGUUUUUGCUGCGUAUUGGCUGUUCAACAUCAAGUACCAGCGGAAAGCCAGUAGCACCCUGACAUUCCUGGAGCGGGACUUUUGCAUCUCGACUCUACUAAACCCAAGGCGAAGUGUUUAGACCUCCUAGCAUUCUUCGAAUUUUACGCUAAAUAAAUUUCUUCGGUUUCCAAUGA